AUACUUGAGCUUGGGCAGUACAUCAUUUUAAAUUGGAACGCUACAGAGAAGAUUAGCAUGGCCCCUGCGCAAGGAUGACGCAAAUUCAUAAAGCGUUAAAUAUUUCU
rfam:Octopus bimaculoides Scaffold122554_contig_46, whole genome shotgun sequence.